AUGAGCACUGGACAACCAGCACAAGAGCAAGGCCUUCUUCAAGGUACCAACCAUAAUGCCAGGUCUCUUUUUUGUGCCAUACAUUCAUCACUACACUGUACAGAUUCCAAGGGAAUCAUGAUAAAAUACGUGUUGUUGCUACAUGUUAGUGUAACGGUACUGAUGCAGAUGACUUGUGUGCUUGAUUGUGGUUGGCUUGUGUGCUUAAUUAUGAAGUUAAUUACUCGGCAGCACAUUUAUUUUCCAAGUAACCACAGGGAAUUAUUCUUUUUGGAUCAUAUUUAUUCUCCGCAAAAAGUAAUCUCAACUUGCUUAAUGGCCCACAUUUUGCAGUUGCUUAAACCUUCUGGACAAGACACAGACAUACAACUGUGUGACAACUUAACACCUUUUGGGGAAUUUUGA
rnacentral:rRNA from 1 species